rnacentral:rRNA from 1 species
AAUAUUGCACAAAGGAGGGAACUCAGACGCAGCAACGCCUCGCGCGUGAAGAAGGUUUUAGGACCGUACAACUCGGUCAUUGGGGAAAAAUAAAAGACGGUAUACAAGGAGGAAGCCCCGGCUAACUACGCGCCAGCAGCCGCGGUAAUACGUAGGGGGCGCGCGUUGUCCGGAAUUACUGGGCGUAAAGGGUACGUAGGCGGCUAUAUAAGUCAGGUGUGAGAUACCAGUGCUUAACACUGGAAUUGCAUUUGAAACUGUGUAGCUUGAGUGCAGGAGAGGAAAGUGGAAUUCCUAGUGUAGCGGUGAAAUGCGUAGAGAUUAGGAGGAACACCAGUGGCGAAGGCGACUUUCUGGACUGUAACUGGCGCUGAGGUACGAAAGCGUGGGUAGCGAACA